CCUACGGGAGGCAGCAGUGGGGAAUAUUGCACAAUGGGCGCAAGCCUGAUGCAGCCAUGCCGCGUGUAUGAAGAAGGCCCUGGGGUUGUAAAGUACUUUCAGCGGGGAGGAAGGGAGUAAAGUUAAUAACUUUGCUCAUUGACGUUACCCGCAGAAGAAGCACCGGCUAACUCAGUGCCAGCAGCCGCGGUAAUACGGAGGGAGCAAGCGUAAAUCGGAAUUACCGGGCGGAAAGCGCACGCAAGCGGUUUGUUAAGUCAGAUGUGAGAUCCCCGGGCUUAACCUGGGAACUGCAUCUGAUACUGGCAAGCUUGAGUCUCGUAGAGGGGGGUAGAAUUCCAGGUGUAGCGAUGAAAUGUGUAGAGAUCUGGAGGAAUACCGGUGGCGAAGGAGGCCCCCUGGACGAAGACUGACGCUCAGGUGCGAAAGCGUGGGGAGCAAACAGGAUUAGAUACCCCGGUAGUC
rnacentral:rRNA from 1 species